rnacentral:rRNA from 1 species
AUGUGCCCUCUUUGUAAGCAUGCAUAGGAGUCCGCUGCUCACCUACUCUUCCAAUGCCGCUACACGUUGCGCAUUUGGAACGACAUUCUACUGUGGCUUGGAAUGCACCACAUCUCUACUACUUCAUGGUCGGCGAGCGUUUCGGUCAAAGGAUGGUGGAAAGGUAACCUUCAGGUUCGUCUCGGCUCUCCCAAAGCCCUUGCCUCAUUGAUGAUGCUCAUCUCAUGGGAGGUUUGGUUCGAGAGAAACGCUAGAGUCUUCCGCAACGUGGCGGUCCCUUCGGUGGUCAUCAUUAACAAGAUCAAGCAUGAGCUGUCGCCCCUGGGUUUUGGUGGGUGCCAAGCACUUGGGUAUUGUAAUGCCGCGAGAGUAGUUUUUCUUUCGUUUGCCGCUUGCGUCUCCUGUCUAAAACCUUCUUCCUUAAUCAUUGAAAUGAAAGUCUUUUGCCUCGUUUCAAAAAAAAGUGUUUCAGAACGUACGUUCCAAGGUGUAAAGAAAAAAUGA